UACGUAGGGUCCGAGCGUUGUCCGGAAUUAUUGGGCGUAAAGAGCUCGUAGGUGGUGUGUCGCGUCGGAUGUGAAAGCCCGGGGCUUAACCCCGGGUCUGCAUUCGGUACGGGCAUGCUGGAGUUCGGUAGGGGAGACUGGAAUUCCUGGUGUAGCGGUGAAAUGCGCAGAUAUCAGGAGGAACACCGGUGGCGAAGGCGGGUCUCUGGGCCGAUACUGACACUGAGGAGCGAAAGCGUGGGGAGCAAACAGG
rnacentral:rRNA from 1 species